AACAGAAACAAAUUGUAGUAAUGUUGAAAAGUCAAAGUAAAGCAAAAUACUGGUGAGAAUUAUAUUUUAAAAAUGUUGACAGAGUGUAUAAUAUCAGUAAUAACUUUCAUAAAUAUUCAUUGUGGCUACUUAAAUGAAUAGAUAUCUCCACCUUCAUAUCCAACUCUCUAUAUAUAUAGGAACAAAGAGU